CGGCACAAUGAUGAGUUGAUUCGCAGUGAAUCUUUGGAAAUUCCCUUUUUUCACAGGGGAUAAACAAUAUGAAGUGUAAAAUUGGAAUCGUGUGACGUCGCUGUUGUAAACAGGUUAAAAAUCAGGGAAUUUUAUUUCCACGUUUAUGCUGAAAGAUGUAAGAGUUUGUGGACGUUUCCAGCCACAUGGUGUCACUGUUUUAUAGAAAACAGACCAAAGAAAUUUCCUAAAGGGGAAACUACAUCUUACAAAACAUCAUGAAGUCAUCCAGAUCUGCUGAAUCAUGUGACUUCUGGAAAGACGAAUCAUACAUGCAAUCAUAAUGGGGUCAGAAAACAUGCAAACAAAAUUGUAGACCUUUUUUUAUAGAUUUUUUUUGAAGGGAUGUCUAGAAACAAAGAUUGAGUUAUUUGGUCAUUACAAGGGGUGUUAUGCAUGGCAGCAAAAGAACACAAAACACUUGCUACCCACAGUAAAAUUUGGGCUUUGUGGCCAGUGCCGGUACUGAGAAUCUGGUUAAAGUUGAGGGUCGCAUGGAUUCCACUCAAUAUCAGCAAAUUCUUGAGAAUAAUGUUGAGGAAUCAGUCACAAAGUAGAAGUUACGCCCGGGCUGGUUAUUUCAACAAGACAACGACCCAAAACACUGCUCAAAAUCUACUCGGGCAUUUAUGCAGAGGAACAAGUACAAUGUUCUGGAAUGGCUCCCAGUCCCCAGCCCUGAAUAUCAUUGAACAUCUGUGGGGUGAUUUGAAGCAGGCUGUCCAGCUCGGCAACCAUCAAACCUAACUGAGCUGGAGAUGUUUUGCAAGGAGGAAUGGUCCAAAAUACAUUCAUCCAGA